rnacentral:rRNA from 1 species
UACGGAGGGUGCAAGCGUUGUCCGGAUUUAUUGGGUUUAAAGGGUGCGUAGGCGGUCUUUUAGGUCAGUGGUGAAAUCCUCCAGCUUAACUGGAGAACUGCCAUUGAUACUGGGAGACUUGAGUACAGACGAGGUAGGCGGAAUUGACAGUGUAGCGGUGAAAUGCAUAGAUAUUGUCAAGAACACCGAUUGCGAAGGCAGCUUACUAGACUGUAACUGACGCUGAGGCACGAAAGUGUGGGGAUCAAACAGG